rnacentral:rRNA from 1 species
CAAUAGCGUAUAUUAAAGUUGUUGCGGUUAAAAGCUCGUAGUUGGAUUUCUGUGGUAGGCAGCCGGUCCGCACUAUGUGCGAGUAUCUGGUUCGGCUACUGCAUCCUCCUGAAGAACGUUGGUGCGCUUCACUGCGUGGCACGGUAUUCAGGACUUUUACUUUGAGGAAAUUAGAGUGUUCACGGCAGGCGCUUGCCCUGAAUAUAUUAGCAUGGAAUAAUGAUAUAGGAUCCAGGUCCUAUUUUGUUGGUUUCUAGGACCAGGAUAAUGGUUAAUAGGGAUAAUUGGGGGCACUCGUAUCAUGACGUCAGAGGUGGAAUUCUUGGAUUGUCAUGCGACGAACUACUGCGAAAGCAUUUGCCAAGGAUGUUUUCAUUGAUCAAGAACGAAAGUAAGGGGAUCGAAGACGAUUAGAUACCAU